rnacentral:rRNA from 1 species
UACGGGGGGGGUAAGCGUUGUUCGGAAUUACUGGGCGUAAAGGGCUCGUAGGCGGCCAACUAAGUCAUACGUGAAAUCCCUCAGCUUAACUGGGGAACUGCGUGUGAUACUGGAUGGCUUGGAUUUGGGAGAGGGAUGCGGAAUUCCAGGUGUAGCGGUGAGAUGCGUAGAUAUCUGGAGGAACACCGGUGGCGAAGGCGGCAUCCUGGACCAAUAUUGACGCUGAGGAGCGAAAGCUAGGGGAGCAAACGGG